rnacentral:snRNA from 1 species
AUCGGGUAGCGAAUCAGGGA